UUUGCCAUUCAACUCUAUUUGAAAUCAGUUCUAAAUUGAAAUCCAUCUUAACAUUCACAUCUUUGCCACACUCAUCUUAUGGAUAUGAUAUACCUUAGAUGCUCGGCAUUCACUGUCAUACAACAUAACUGGCUGCCUAACCACAUUUCUAUAGAACUUACCUUCACGUUGUUAAGGAUCUUACGGUUGCAGAACACACCCAUCGCACUCCUCCAUUUCAUCCAUUAUGUUUUGAUCCAGUAAGUUACAUCAUCAUUUAUUACUCCAUUCUUUUAGACAAUAGAACCUAAAUAAUUGAAUUGGUUGCAUGUUGGCACCAAAACUCCAUCCAACCAAACUUGCCCCUUAUUCCUUCUAUGAGAACUAAACUUGCAUUGCAUACAUUUCGUCUUACUUCUACUUAGCCGAAAACUUUAUUCUCAAGAGUCCUCCCAUAACUCUAAAUUUUGAUUAACUCCAUUAGUUUCAUCUACAAAGAAAACAUCAUCUGCAAAUAACAUGCGUCGUAGGACAUUAUCUUAAAUAUGACUAAUUAGCUCAUCCAUAAUUAAGGUAAACAAGCACGGACUCCAAGCCAAUCCUAACGUAAACCCACUAUUACGUAGAACUCGUCCAUAUCCCCUCCCACUGUUCUCACACUUAUAAUCGCCCCCCAUACAUGUUUUUAAUGACAUUUAUACAUUUGAGA
rnacentral:misc_RNA from 1 species